GAAUUUCACCCAUAGUCUGUCUUUUUUAGUUUCCCUGAUACGCAUCUUUCUUAAUAAUAAUAAUAAUAAAUAAAUAAAUAGCACUUUGGGAGGCCGAGGCGGGCGGAUUACCUGAGGUCGGGAGUUCAAGAGCAGCCAGGCUAACAUGGUGAAACCUACCUCUCUACUAAAAAUACAAAAAUUAGCGGGGUGCAGUGGCGCGCGCCUGCAAUCCCAGCUACUCCGGAGGCUGAGGAAGAAUUGCUUGAACCUGGGAGGCAGAGGUUGUGGUGAGCCUAGAUCACGCCACCGCACUCGCACUCCAGCCUGGGCUACAGAGCGAGACUUCGUCUUAAAAAAAAAAAAAAAAAAAAAAAAAAAAAAAAAAAACAAGGCAUGUGGCCAGUAUUCCCUGCCUAUACUUGUUUUCUUUAGAAAAAUGUAACUUUUAAACAUAAUUUGACUUGAAACGGUUUCUUUCCAGGAUUUAUCAUUUUUUAUAGGUGAUUCCAGUUCAAACUAUUUAUUACAUUAAUAUGUUGACAAAUUGUCGUUGCUGAACAAAUUUUUUAUGUGCAAUCAUACGGAACAUUUUAUAUUUAAGGAUGUUUAUAUAUCAAGUAUAUAAUCAUUGGCAGAAACUGGGCAGGGCGCGGUGGCUCACGCCUGUAAUUCCAGCACUUUGAGAGGCUGAGGCAGGUGGAUCAUCUGAGGUCAAGACUUCAAGACCAGCCUGGCCAACAUAGUGAAUCCCUGUCUCUACUAAAAAUACAAAAAAUAGCGAGCGUGGUAGCACGCACCUGUAAUCUCAGCUACUCGGGAGAAUGAGGUGGGAGAAUCGCUUGAACCCCAGGCGGCGGAGGUUGCAGUAAGCCAAGAUUGCGCCACUGCACUCCAGCCUGGGUGACAGAUCCAGAUUCUGUCUCCAGAAAAAAAAAAAGAGAAAGAAACCUAAGAAAGCUAUAUUGUUUAUACUCUAACAUUUCUAACAUUUAACUACAUUUAUCCAUUCUCAAAGGAAGUUGGUCAUCACAAGAUUGGAAAAUCUGUACUUCCCUGGCUUAUAUGACUUAAUCAUAAAUGUCUAAAUUUGACAGAUGUCCCAGGAAAGAAAACUUAUAAAACUACUCUGUUGCAUUCUAUGUGUUUAUGUGACAUUUGAGAUCUGCAUAUUAUACAUAGCAAUCUGGUUUUUAAUAUAAUGUAGAGAGACUGAAAAAGUUUUAGCAGUUUAGCUGCCACUUUAGCUGCUUAAAGUAAUAUAUGCAUCAUCUGCCCCCUUUGGUGGUAGGGAUGUCAGAUUCCAUUCUCUGUAGGGUAUUUCAUACAAAUCUGUUAGUCGCUGGAGGAAUCAGAAACUAGACACACAACUGGUCCACCUGGCUGUCUGGUGGCAGCAGAGGAACUGGGAUUUCCAGGGCAACUGACGGGGCGAUAGGACAGGGCAGCAGGGAGGAAAUCUGGGGACGUACAUAAGAUUUAGGUCCAAUACAAGCACUGUGCUUUAAAUACCAUUCUGAUUCUCAUUUAUGUUUAACCACCUUUAUAUUUAAGAUCUAUCCACAUUGCCUUCUUCCAUUUUAUUCCUUCAGAUUUCUACAUUGUAUUACAUAAUAUAUGCUGUCUUUUACUAACUGAUUCAUUUUGUGAUAAGCAUAGUUUGCCUACAACCUUUUACUAACUUAAUGCAUUGUCUCUCACCCCAACUCCAUUCCUUAACCAAGUCUGACUGGUCAAGAAAUAUCCAACACCUGGUAUCAACCUGCAUCAACCUGCAUGCUAGCAAAUUAGCAAAUAAUAAAUGCUUUUGGAACUAACUGGUUUAUGGAGGUCCUCAAAAACUGGGUGGUGUGUUUAUUUAAUGCUAGGUCAAUUUGGCAAAAAUAAAUGUACAGAAAGCCAUUUCCAGAACAAAAAAUGUCAGAAUACAAUUUGCCAAACAAAUUUUCUAAAUUACUAAUUUGAUGAAUUGUUGAGGCUUGUUAAAAAAGUUUAAGCCCUACUAAUGCCUCAGCCUUGUCUGAGGCAAGCCCAGGAGCAGGGGCAGAGCGUGAGUAUACAAAAAGUGGGGAACUGCAAACUCCACUUCAGAAAAACUUCACCUAUUUGUGUAUCAAAAGGCUGGGGUAAAUGCAAAACUAAAGCUCUGAAAAACUCUAUUUGACAAACUAGCUUUCAACUGCUAGUAAAAAGCCUAGAUAUUGGCCAGGCACGGUGGCUUAUGCCUGUAAUCCAAGCACAUUGGGAAGCCGAGGUGGGAGGAUCACCUGAGGUCAGGAGUUCAAGACCAGCCUGGCCAAAAUGGUGACACCCUGUCUCUACUAAAAAACACAAAAAUUAGCCAGGCAUGGUGGCGGGCGCCUGUAAUCUCAGCUACUUGGGAGGCUGAGGCAGGAGAAUCGCUUGAACUUGGGAGGCGGAGGUUGCAGUGAGCGGAGGUUGCACCAUUGCACUCUAGCCCGGGCGACAGAGCAAGACUCCGUCUAUUUAAAAAAAAAGCCUAGAAA
rnacentral:lncRNA from 1 species